AGGUACCAGGUUAUUUAUGGAGUUGCUUGGAGUAUCCUACCUGCCGGUUCCCACAUUACAUCAGAAGACUUACAGUUUCCCUUUAUAUUUUAUUUAUUUUAUGUGAAAAGAAGAAGAAUUAAAGAAGGAGAAGGAAGUGUCUCAUGAGGCAAAAAAGGAGGCUUGUUUUUUGAUGACAUGUUGAUGACUUAUUAUUUUUAAUGACAUGUGAGAUGACUUGUUGUUUAGAUAUUAUGAUUAGUUGUUGAACUUUGAUGUAUUAUAUGAUUUGUAGUUGUAUAUGGAUAUGAUAUGUAUGACUUGUAGUUAUGGAUAUGAUAUGUAUGACUUGUAGUUAUUUUGGAUGACUUCUUUGGAUGUUAAUCGUA